AACAAGGCGUACCUGCGGACCUGCGGAAGGAUCAUUACCGAGUGUGAACCCCCCCGUAAAAAAGAGGGGUUACCUCCCGUCCUUUGCUGGGAACCCCUUUCCAACUUGGAAGGAGGUUGUCUUCAGACCCUUCUGCUUCGGUGGGGUAACCCACCGGAACAACCUCAAAAAUAUUCUCAAUUCAAAACCGUUCAGUCCGAGAACUUUUUUGAAAAGCGAAAAAACUUUUAACAACGGAUC
rnacentral:misc_RNA from 1 species